UGUCCAGUAGCACCUUAGAGACCAACUAAGUUUGUUCUUGGUAUAAACUUUUGUGUGCUGGUAUCUGAAGAAGUGUGCAUGCACAUGAAAGCUUAUACCAAGAACAAACUUAGUUGGUCUCUAAGGUGCUACUGGACA